AAUGGUAUCGCUUAGUUGGUCUAUAGCGUCACUUUGCUAAAGUGAAAAACUAUUUAAGUUUCAUAGGUUCGAAUCCUAUUACCACCU
rnacentral:tRNA from 1 species